AUGCUGUGAAAGGGCAGGAAGAAACCCUAACCUUAAUCUGCAGCAGCGUUCCAGCCAAAUUCAAUUGCCCUUUCUCCAUAGAGAGGGUUUGAUCACUUGGGUGGCGAUUUGAGCGAUGGGUAAGAAGAAGAAGAGAUCAGCGGACAAGGUAUGGUGCUAUUACUGCGAACGGGAGUUCGAUGACGAGAAGGUACUGGUGCAGCACCAAAAGGCUAAGCAUUUCAAGUGCCACGCCUGCCACAAGAAGCUCUCCACUGCCAGCGGCAUGAUUAUUCAUGUCCUCCAGGUUCAUAAGGAGACUGUUACCAAGGUUCCCAAUGCAAAAGAAGGUCGGGAAUCGCCCGCGAUCGAGAUAUAUGGUAUGCAAGGGAUUCCACCUGAUGUUUUAGCUGCUCAUUAUGGAAAAGAAGAGGAGGAGGCUCCUUCUAAGCUGCAUAAAGUGAAUACCCCGACGUCUCAAUACAUCCGUGGUGUCAUGCCAGGGUCUCUAGGUGCUAGCUAUCCUCAGGCAAAUAGAAUCCCUCCAGUAUUUAAUCCAGUAUUCCAAAUGCCUCCAUCUGGUUGGCAAGUUCCUCCUCGGCCCCAAGCCUGGUUCUCGCAGAACCCCACUGUUUCACUUCCUUCUGCGCCCUUAGGUGUUCAACAACCGUUGUUCCCUACACAGACUGUGAGGCCUCCUGUACUAUCUGCCAUGCCAACAGUUCAACCAUCAAUGGCUGUGGUUCUUCCCAUGAUCCCCUCCAUUCCCCCUGCUGUUUCAGUAUCUCAACCUUUGUUUCCUGUUUUUGCCAAUAAUAGUAUCACUUCACAAAGUGCACCAUUUAUGACAUCUCUAUCGCCAAAUGUGUCUUUAUACUCUCAACCAGAACUUAACCCCAUGAGUGAACAGCUUGCAAAUAAUACUUUUGGGGGAAGUAGCUACAACUUACCUGAUAUGCAAGGUGGAGCACCUGUGACCUUGCAUUCUUAUGCAUCUGGUCCAGACACUAGUGGCCCCUCAAUUGGACCUCCGCCUGUAAUUGCAAACAAAGCCCCCUCUAUACAGCCUGCUUCAAAAGAGGUGUAUCUAGUCUGGGAUGAUGAGGCAAUGUCUAUGGAAGAAAGACGAAUGUCCUUGGUCAAGUAUCAGGUGAAUGAUGAAACUAGCCAGAUGAGCUCGAUUGAUGCUGCUAUAGACAAAAGGAUAUCUGCAAGCAGGCUUGCUGGUCGAAUGGGGUUUUAGAGUUGUGGACGAGCUAGAAGGAUUCUCUCCAAAGCAAAUGGUGCAUUGAUUUUAUAAGACGCGAAUGCAAGCAAUUUCAGGGGAUUAGGUCAAAAAGGAUGAGGAGGCAAACACAGUCUAUCCCAAGAAACUCGCUAGCUUUAUCAAGAUUCAAGAACAAUAUGCAUCUGGAUUUGUUGUGGUUCAAGAAGAACUCUUUCCAGUUGCUGCUCAUGAGGUUUCUUUACUUUUAUUCUAUAUAGUCUAUCAAAAGUUGCCAUCCUAUUUCUUAUACACAUGCAGGUUGUGUUGCAGAAGUUCAUGUGGGUGAUCUCAUCCACAUGAUAACAGGUGGAAAUCAAGCAAAUCAUACCGAAAUGGAAUUGUAUAUCCAGAAUAGUCCUAAGAAGACACAUGAUCAUGAUCCCUAUAUGCUUAAUCGCCUGACAACAUUUUGAACAAAAGAAAGAAGAAGAAGAAGAUGAAGAAUACUAUACAAGUGGAAAAGCCCUCGGAUCAUGAUUCUCAUAUUAUCUCAAGUCAAAGAAAAUGAUGCAAGAGGAGAAAUGUGGUUGUUUUGCUCAGUCAGUCUGGAGAUCAUUUUAGGGGCAUGUCAAUUCCUGAAUAUUUGCCUCUUUUUUUUUUUUUUUUUUUU